GUUCCUUCAUGGCUUGUUGUAUGUUAUAGAAAGGAAAUAAACAAGAGUAUUUUUAUUUAGACAUGGAUUUGGCAGUUAAAAUUGUCGAGUGUCAGACAAUAGCUGAAUUAUCAACUUUGGAAAGGCUAUAUUUGUUGAAUGAAGUGGAACAACGCAUUCUUUUCGAGAGGAAAUUGGAAAUUUUUCGUCGAAUAACGGAAUGGAGAGUAGAAAAUGAGCAGCUAGGGCUUACGGCUGACUUUACGGACACCUGGACACCGGAACAACGUGAAAGAUUCAUACGUGAAUGGCAAAACGAUGACCCCCUGUUGCAAAUGGGCCGUGGCGAGAAAAGAUCCAUAGACGAAGUGAAUGACAGUGCAACUGACGAGGUUAGCGAUAACUUUUUUACCGUGACAAAUAUGAAACAAGUUAAAGUGAAAAAAUUCAGCACGACAGGUGUGGAUUAUACAGUACAAUUCACGGACACGUUUGCUCAUUUGGAGCUUUCUCAGUUCCACGACCGUCUGCAUGGAAUAUUUGAAAGUAUGUUGAAUACCAUUACACGAGAUAUUCCAGAG